rnacentral:rRNA from 1 species
AUGAACGCUGGCGGCGUGCAUAAUACAUGCAAGUCGAGCGAACAGAUGAGGAGCUUGCUCCUCUGACGUUAGCGGCGGACGGGUGAGUAACACGUGGAUAACCUACCUAUAAGACUGGGAUAACUUCGGGAAACCGGAGCUAAUACCGGAUAAUAUAUUGAACCGCAUGGUUCAAUAGUGAAAGACGGUUUUGCUGUCACUUAUAGAUGGAUCCGCGCCGCAUUAGCUAGUUGGUAAGGUAACGGCUUACCAAGGCGACGAUGCGUAGCCGACCUGAGAGGGUGAUCGGCCACACUGGAACUGAGACACGGUCCAGACUCCUACGGGAGGCAGCAGUAGGGAAUCUUCCGCAAUGGGCGAAAGCUUGACGGAGCAACGCCGCGUGAGUGAUGAAGGUCUUCGGAUCGUAAAACUCUGUUAUUAGGGAAGAACAAAUGUGUAAGUAACUAUGCACGUCUUGACGGUACCUAAUCAGAAAGCCACGGCUAACUACGUG